AGAUUACAUUGAUAUAGUGUAAAUACUAAAACAGGCUUGAAUAUCUGGAAUAAAUCCCACUUGGUCUUGUUAUAUAAUUCAUUUCACACUUUGUUGGAUGUGUUGAGAAUUUUUGCCUGUAUUUUCUGUGAGAUACCAAUUCAUAGUUUUCUUUCUUCUAAUAACUUUAUCUGGGUAAUGUUGGCCCAUAGAAUGAAUAAGGAUUGAUCCCUUUGCUUUUAUUUUUUGAGAAGAUUACAAAAAAUAAAUAUGUUUUCAUGUUAAAUGUUUUAAAGAAUUCAUCAGUGAAAUUUGAGAUUCAUGCUCUCUUUUUGGAAGAUAUUCGAUUAUUGAUAAUUUUCUGUAGAUAAAGAGCUACCGAUAGUAUCUAUUUCUCCUUAUGUGAAUUUUGGCUUAAUUUGCUCUUCUUUGUCAAGAUUUCUAAUGCUGAGCUGAGCUAGUUGAUUU
rnacentral:lncRNA from 10 species